UGCCGAGGGAGCUGCAGGGACACCGGCCCGCACCCCUGGGCGCUCCGGGCCGCAUCGAGUGAUCUCCGACAUUCACCUGCAGCCAUCUGCAGUGCUGUUCCCCUCAUCGCUGAGCAGAGCAGAAGGAUGCCGCCAGGAAUGGGAGUGCUUCCCAUCUUUGUAGUCUGCCGAAAACAUUUUCUUCUAGGUUUGUUAGAAAACAUUUUUAUCUUUUUGUUUUUAAAACAUUAGCAAAAAUAUUGCUGCUCUUGGCAUUGUGUGUAUCAAAGUUUCCCUCCUCUAUUUUUUUAUUGGUAUUUUCUUGAAAAUUAAGGUUUUUUAAUGCAAUUCCAGCCUCAGGGAAUACAAGGAGAGUAGAAUUUGGUGGCACAAAGUGCUGAAUUAGUACAAAUUUCAUCAAUAACUGAAAUGUCUGUAUUCCUUAAUAGGAUCUUUAUUAGGGUUUAUUUCAUUCUAUGCAUAUUCAUCAGCUCAGAGUCACUUCAGCAAUGGUAACUUACUAUUACUAAGUCAUAUUUGCCAGGAGCACAAAUGUUUUUAUACUGCCAAGAGUAGAAGAUGGAUAUAUCAGGGCUGUUAAACAACUAAAAAUAUCACUAUCACUCUACUAAAUUUUCUGUUCAUGUAUAGCAUAACUAUGUUUGUCUUGAAGACAGUUUCCAUAAGAAAACAUUUUUUUCCCAGAAAGCAAAAUAUUAUUGAACAACCUUGCAUACUAAGGAUUACAUAUUUUUUUUUUUCUGGUGGUUUACAUGGUACAUCUCUUAUUUUUAAAAAAGUAUUAUUCCCAUAGUGAGUUUCAGUGUUAGUCAGUAAGGUCUGACUGUAGAUUUUAAGGACAGAAAAUAGAGUUAUGCCUUUAUAUAGGCAGAGAGCUGAUUUCCUGAUAGUACUGAUGAGCUUGUGCUUGUACAGAAUUGAUCAGUAAUUAAAUUCAGACGUUGGCUCAGUUUGAAGUGUUUUAUGCAACUGUGAAUCCAUGGCAUUUUAGAGAUAAGAAUGCAGAAAUCAGAAAAACACCCACUUCACAGAAAUGAAAAUCCAAAUUGUGUGGACUUCUGUUUGCAAGUGCAAGUCUAAGAGAGAUGGUGGAUUUUCACGUCCCCAUCCUUCCCCAGCUCCUUUUCUUUCUCUCUGUUUGAUACUCACCCACUGUCAGAUUAUAAAUGGAAACAAAGGCUUCAUGCUGAAUCUGAGGAAAUGCCCCAACUCUUGUUCUUCAAGAAGUCUGGGUCAGGAUUUUAAUUCUUGGCGCUGGCCCAUGGUUUGAUGUGUUGGGAUGCAAAGUGCCUCGUUUGCUUUCAACCAAUGCUAUGAAUGCAGAGCAAGGGGAUUAGUUUAUAAAGAUUACCUAAAGAAUAUGUUAUGGUGCUGGCCAGAGAAUAAUCUAAGGCUGGAAAACACAGAGAAAUCACUUUCUAGUUUACCAUAAGUCUUUUAAAUAUUGCUAUAAAGCAGAAAUCCAGUGACUACUGUGUUAAGGACUCAAAGCAUGCUGGCAAAUUGCCUGGUAGGGCAAGUAAGGACAUCUCACAAUCCAUCUUAAACAAGAGGGAGCAGCAAUUUCUUGCAUUCUGUCAUUUGGCAAAUAUGCAGUUCUCAGAUGUAACAGUACUGAGUAUUUUACUGAAACUUUCAGACGUCAGCCUGCACUCUCCAUAUGUUCAGGGUUUUACAAGCUGUUUCCAUGACAAAACUAGAUUGAUUCUCGAUCAGAGCCAGAUAGUUAAUUGGUUAAAUCCAUUUUAUUUACCAAAAAAUGUAGGCAAAACACUCUUCUCUUCAAUACAGUAGACAGAUUCCUUUUUUAUGUUUUUCCUUCUUUUCCAAAAUCUACUCUGUUUAUAAAGCUUUCUCUGAGGAAGAUGGUUCCAUCACUAACUUUUUGUUGUUGUUUGUUGUUUCUAGUUUUCUUUCUUAAUUACAUUUAAUUCAUUAGGAAAAGAAUUUUUUUUUUUUUUGCCAUAUAGAACUUCUGAAUCCAACCUUUCAAAAUGCCUGUUCAUUUCUGCAUUUCUGUAAGAGUGAAACUCCUAGGUAGCCUAUGAUUUGCGUGAGAUACUAACCAUGGGUCGAUAGAAAGAAUAAUGUCUACUGUAUGUAUCAUUAAUGCACAUGUUGGAAAAUUGCUAUAAUCAGGAGAAUUUGUUCCUGUUUUUUGUUGUUUGACCUUUUUUUUUUUUCUUUUUUCCUUCAGGGUGAGUAAGACAGGAAAAAAAUACUUAUCCAUCCACUGACCAAGUGGUAAACUAGAAUAUGCUUCACAAAGGGAUAAGUACCAUCCAGGAGUUUUAUGGAGGGCAAAGCUAUUUGUAAUUAAAGGAUCAUGACACUAUCUGGCCCAGCUGCAGUUACUCUUCAGAAGCAGAAAUCACUCCGUGUAUUAUUUAGAUUGUCACAUCUUCAUAGAUUCACUGAAAGAAAUUUUAUUUUUGAUGUGCAGAUAAAGUCCAGACAUCCUGAAUUAUGUUAACUUAUGCUGAGAGUCAACAUUUGAGUUUUUCCCUGAAGUUUUGGUGGCUUCAGCUCACGUAGAGCCAGUGGAAGAGGGCUAUAACCAGCAGACACUGAAGUGAAUUUCAGGGAGGUAAUUUUUCACUCGUGCUGUUUUCUGUGAAGCCUCAGAUCAAAGCCUGCUCUGGGAAGUGGAGUAGGCCAAAGCCACAGUGCCAGCUAAGGUCCUGUGGAUUUUACCAGGCACCUGACUCCUUUUUGUGGCUUAUCUUCUGCAAUAUGGGCACUCAAACAUUGAAGAGACACUUAAAAUUUCUUCUCAGCCUUGCUCUUGUGUAACAGGUAGGCCUUUUAAAACGUGUGCACAUUACUUCAUUUUUAGUCACAGCUUCGGAUAAUCUUUUCAUUUCAUGUAAAAGCAACUUGAUUUGUGGCUUUGACUUUUGAAGAAUUCAAGAGUAAACUAUAGGCUAGUCUUUAGAGAUAAAUUCAAUCUAGGAAAUGAGAUAUAGAUUAUCACUUAUAUAUCAAAACUGAGUUGAUUCGAUCUCUUGGAUUUGAACUCAGAAAGACCUGAAAACCAUAAUCAAUUCAUAAUCCUGAAAGAUCUGGUGGGUUGGAUGUUUUCCCCAAUGAGAGAAUGAAUGUGGUAUUUCAAAGUGUUUUGGAGGAGGUCAAAUAUGGUUUACAUAUAGAAGAGAGGUUAAAUAAACUAUGUCAAGAUUUUCUGCAACAUGUUUCACUGAGACUAAAACAUGUCAUCAUGUCUUUAUGGGCUAAUGUUUAUAAAAGGUACAAAUUACUUUCAAGGGGGGCUAUCUGCUGAAGGUUAGCUGUUAAAAAUGUUUCCCUCUCUGUUUAUGGUUUUCUAAAUCUGGGUUGUCAAUGGAAAUGCUGGUAACUACUCUAAGUACUGCACAUUUCCAAAGACUUUAUCUGAAGCACACUGCUCUGAUACAUUCUUUACUGCUGACUGUGUUGGCUAUUACCAUGAAAUAAACAGAUUAAGUAUUGACUCCAUAAUUUUAAUUGCUAUGAUUUUAAGUGCACAACUACUGAAGUAUGCAAGUAAUUCAUUUAAGUCUAGAUCAAAACAAUCUAGUUUGCAAAGAAUGAUCUAUUAUCUUUGAAAUGUGCAAAACCCCAAGAAAAUGUGGCUAUAUCCUAGGAAGCAUUGAGAUAGAGAAAGUAGGUAAAUGUUUUAUGCUCCCAUGGAGAACUGUGGCUGAUUCAGAACUUGGUAAAGUCAGUGGGCUUGCUUUCAGUGGUAAUGAAGUCCAAGUCAUUGCACUGUAGCAAUUUCUAUAACAAAUAUGGGCCUGUUCAAUAAAUUGUGACUGCAGUUCAAAGCCAUCACCCUACAGUCAGCUCAAAAUGGUUGCACAGAUUUUAGGGAACCUAAACAUUCUUACUUGUGUUUUGAAUUUGGGGGUAUACUCAGUCAAUUUGAUAUGACUCAAGUUCUAAAGCAUUGUUUUUAUUUUCUUAUGUAACCUUCAAACCAUGGAAAAUUGUAUUUUUGAUAUUUUGCAGAAUUCAGGGAAUUUUGGUACCUGUUUUCAUACUCUUAUAUGUGCUUCAAACCAUGAAUGUUUGCUUUUAAUCACUGUUAUAAAAGCUAAGGCAAAUUUGUGAGUAUGACUGUGAUUUGAUUGGAGUUUUAAGUCUUUCUCUGAACAUAAGGCAAACAAAAAGAAACUUCUGGAUCACAAAUGUGCAGGUUGCAUUGCACCAUUAUUUUCAGCUGUCCUGAGAACUCAUUAUAUCUUUUGUCUAAACAUAAUUUUCUAUCAAGUGAGUAAACAAUGAGCUUGCAAUCCUAUUUCUCAUAAGCAUAUGCUUAAGUGUAUAUAUAAUUCCCUAUUGGUAAAGGGGACUGUGGAAACAUUUUCCUGAUUAAAAAUCAUAAGCUGAUAAAAAAGGAAUUAGAGUGGCAAGAAACUUGUGGUCCCACAAGAUCAAUUACCACUUUGUAGCAGGACUGGGCAAUGUGCUUAGACUAUACAUUUUUAUACAGCUUUUGGUAUUAGUCUGCACAGUUAGGCUACCUUUUCUCUUAGUAUAAUCAAGUGUUUUGGUAUUUCAUUUUCAUUGUGCUCCUAAGAUGCCAAGGAUAUAGAGCACAUGUCUCAAAUGAUUGCUUUUUAUUGCCUGGUUUACCUAAUUUUUAUUCUCUUUGGUCUCUGGAAGGUAUAUUUCUGGCCAUGUGUUAUUUUUUAAUUCAGUGACUUUUUGUAUGGACUUGCUUUGCAUUUCCUGGGCUCCUAAAUUUGCUUAUUGCAACACCUAUAUAUAAACUGCCUAGAAACUAGAGAAUGUUGAUACAUUGACAUCUAUUAAACACUUUGUCUUCCAUGAUGUAGUGUUCAUGUUUCCUCUUACUGUUUUAAGGCAACAGCUUCAAUACUAAGAAGAUACAGAGUUUUCAAGGCUGGUGGCGGGACAAUUAAUAGGGGAAAAGUGUAAAAUAUCACAUGGUAUGCUUUAAUUCUACUAUCAGAGGCUCAAGAGGGGAAAAUUUGACUUCAUUACAGUUCUAGUAUUCUCUUAUUGAGGAAUUGAACAGAACAAUGUCUUGGUUUACUGUGGAGUUUUCUAGGUGAAUAAAAGAAAUAUAAUUCUGGAUGAAGACUCAGUUUUAAGUCCUCUUUAGUAGAGCCCAUAAUUUUGGCCUAGCUAUUAUUUAAACAGUUGUGCUUCCAUAUACUUCAUUCAUGCCAGCAGGCUGCUUUACACCUGCCGCUUUGUAUUUAGUCUAUUCUGAAUGUAGGUAUACAGAAAAACAUCACUCAGUAUUCAAAAGAAAGUGCUUUUUUUCCAGAAUAAAUAUUGAGGAAAACAGCUGUAUGUAGGUUUCCAUAAUUUGGCUACCAAAUUAAAAAUAUUAUUGCAAUUUGUCUGUGCCCAUUGGAAUCCUUAUCACAGCUCUGCCUGGUGGCUGUCUCCACCAUUUUGUAGAGUACUUUUGCAGUAUUCUGGAUAUGUAAAUCAUCUAAGGAGCUGUUCUGUUUUUCAUGGGCAAACCUUGAAGUUUUUGGUGCUUCAACACUGCAACAGGAAAAAGUAGUUAUCUCUUAGGAAAAUCUCAGCUAUUGACUAAGGAGUAAGCCAUUAGAUCAAGUCCUUGCUGACCUGAGAUAUUCUGAUGUGCUCUUUCAGCAAUGAGCAUUUUUUUGCUGUCUAGAUUUUAUUAAGGUUCCCAGGACGAAACAACUAACCAGUUUAAUGAGGACCUCCCCAGCUCACUGUGGAGCAUUUAGCUCACAUUCCAGUUUGAAUCACUUGGCCAUGUUGUGACUCCUUCCCUGCAGCUCCGUUAGCUGGCAGCUGGUGGUAUUGUGGAAGCAGCCUCUUGCAUAGAACAGAACAGCUACCUUUGAAUCUUUAAAAAUACUUCAGAACUGGUGGCACUUCUUUAUAUAAGCACAGCAAAUAACCUAAAAAUAGAACUAUAGCUGGAACAUGAGCUAUUCAACAUGAAUUAAUGUGUUUGUUAAAAGUCUAGGGAUUUUUGUGAGUCUUGUGAGAUGCACAUGACCUUUUCAUGAUGCUCCCUAGAGAUACUAGUCAUCCUGUCCAAAAGCAGCAUGAAGUUUUUCAGGCGUACACAAACAAUGUAAUUAGGGCACUUUGGUCCUGGUAAUGGGGAAUGAACAUUGUAGUCCUGCUCAGAUGGCCUUUCCAAACAUACCACAGUGUUCAAAUAUUGUGACUAUUGGCACAAUUAGUGCAAGGCUCUUGUAUCUCUGGGUAUAACUAAGUCUUGUGCUUUCAGUGUAAAAUGUAAAGCAUCAUUUUCUUCUUUUAGCUACGUGCUUCUCCAGGUAACAAGGAACUGAAAUUGUGUGCCUGGAGCAGUGAUCUCAGUUUACUAGAAAUCCAUCCAGUCACCAAAACCAGCCUUCAGACUCAGCAUUAGUUAUAAACUCUAUCAUAUUAGCAUUCUCAGAGAGAUCAGGGACUGCACAAAUGGUGCAGGUUAAUGUAUCUUCCCUACAACGGAGGGCUGAGUCCAUGAUCAAGGAUUAUGAUGCGGUAGCACAAUAAAGAUGUGGUCAUUAUCAUCCCAGUGCUAUGGGGCCUCAUCAUUGUGCUUAGCAUCACACAAACACUUAGAAAAAAAAUAUCAUCAGUCCUUACAUCCUAAUCAUUGUCCUCACCUCUUGGACACAGAGGACCUGAGUGACCCACGGGUGGUGUUUCCUAUGUGCAUUGCAUUUGUACAUUGUCCAUGGCACACUUACUCUGCUGCUGACUACAGAAGCCAUGCCUCUGUGAAAACACAAUAGACCUUGCUCAUACAAAUUGCUUUCUUAAGAGCUGUUAAGAUUUUCAAAAUGUCAUAAUUAAGACAUUCAAAUAAGCAAGCAGCCAGAUGAAUACAUUGUUCAUGUAUUCAAGACUGAGACAGAUAAACAAAAUGUUCAGAAUUAAUGUGAUCUUGCUAUACUCAUCACACUUACAAUGUAUAUUUUUUGUCCAAAUAAUGUUUCUUUAGCAUUUAUAGCACUGUGUCACAGUCUUGAAAAAAAUAAUACAGUAAGUAAUAAUGAUAAACAAUGUCCUGGCCAAAUGAAACUUAAAAACAGGCUUGGCUUAAAAAAAAUCUACCAGUGAGUAUGGAGCUAUUAUUAAUCCUUACAAGUGCUGUGGCUUUUGAUACACAACUGACAAAAUAAUCCAGAUGGUGCUGCAGUGUUUUACUGAAAAAAGUGUUCUGUAAAGGGCUGCCUUUCACCAGGAACUUCUCUUUUAUGGGUAAACUCUUAUGGCAACAGCCUCGACAACUUAUAUUGACUUCUUUGGUAUGUGUCUAAUACCUGUUGGCCAGAGAUGCUCAGCAGACAAGUUUCAUGCCUGAAGUAUCUCCUUAUGCUUAAAUGCCACAAUAAAUUUCUAAUUUUUUCAGUCUAAGCUUUUAUCUGGCUCUCAGAACAGCUGGAUAUGUGUAGUCAGCACCAAGCUCCUCCUAGGUAGGCUGGUGGUCCUCUUCUUCCAUCACAAUGAAACUGAGGUAGCACUAGAGCCUCUGUGCUAGACACUGCUUUUGAUAAAGCUGCCUUUCAGAGUAAAGGAUUGUUCUGACAGUGAAAAACUUCCCAAAGUCACUGUAGGAGGAAGGUUUGUGGGAUGAAGCCCUCCAGAGGGACUUAGCUGCAAUAUUUGAGAGUCCUGGUGUGUAACACUUUGCUCUCCCACAGCCCAACACACCACAGGCCUGUGGGACUCUGUGUCACUGUGUACCAGGGCAGAGGAGGGAGAUGGUCAUGAAGGAAGAUGUGUUUAUUAUCAGACCAAAUAAGAGCACACAAGAAAAGACCUCCUUUGUGUUUAUUUAAAAAUAAAUAUUGAAGAGAAGAACAGAGGAAAAGACCUUCAGGAUCAUCAGUAAAAUGAUGACAGUAGCAAAGUUCAUAGCCAGAGACUGUGAUGCUAUAAAUCUAUCAAGAAAAAUAAGCUUGAAAGUAAAACAAGCUAGUUAUUUUUGAGCAUGGUUAUCUCAGUCAUGGUAACAUUAAAACACCAUCAGAGAGGUUCAGGUCAUAGUUCUUUUACAACUUUUCACUUUUCUAAGCUGUACACAGCUGCUUUUUGGGCAUGAAGUUAAGCUACAUGUGAAGACAGCUUCUGACACUCCUUGUUCUCCCUGGAUAGCUAUACUCUGAAGUUCACUUAAUAUCUUUUUGAGAAUGUUUUUUUCUGGCUUUCUAAUUGCUAAUGAAAUUACCUGAAGCCAGAUGUACAAAGAAGA